AGUGAACGCUGGCGGUAGGCCUAACACAUGCAAGUCGAACGGCAGCACAGUAAGAGCUUGCUCUUACGGGUGGCGAGUGGCGGACGAGUGAGGAAUACAUCGGAAUCUACUUUUUCGUGGGGGAUAACGUAGGGAAACUUACGCUAAUACCGCAUACGACCUACGGGUGAAAGCAGGGGAUCUUCGGACCUUGCGCGAUUGAAUGAGCCGAUGUCGGAUUAGCUAGUUGGCGGGGUAAAGGCCCACCAAGGCGAGGAUCCGUAGCUGGUGUGAGAGAAUGAUCAGCCACACGGGAACGGGACCACGGUCCAGACUCCUACGGGAGGCAGCAGUGGGGAAUAGUGGACAGAGGGCGCAAACCUGAUCCAGCCAGACCGCGUGGGUGAAGAAGGCGUUCGGGUUGUAAAGCCCUUUUGUUGGGAAAGAACAGCAGCAGGUUAAUACCCCGCUGUUCUGACGGUACCCAAAGAAUAAGCACCGGCUAACUUCGUG
rnacentral:rRNA from 1 species